ACCAAGCCAAAAAGAAGGACGUUUAAGCAGCCCUGCUGUGAUUUUAACUUUCAAUCUGUCAAGUGUAAAAAACAUCAAACUUAGCAACUUCAUGCAAAACGAGUCAUUUCCCAGUGUUUGGUGAGUUUCUCUAGGUUUUUCCCAUCCGUGUGCCCCGCCCAUCCGUGUGUCUGUGUGCCAC